GGUCGGGGACUCAUGGGGAACUGCCGGUGACAAAUCGGAGGAAGGUGGGGAUGAGCUCAAGUCAUCAUGCCCCUUAUGUCCAGGGCUACACACGUGCUACAUUGGCCGGUACAAGUGGCUGCAAACCCGCGAGGGGGAGCGAAUCCCAAAAAGCCGGUCCCGGUUCGGAUUGGAGGCUGAAACUCGCCUCCAUGAAGGCGGAGUUGCUAGUAAUCGCGGAUCAUCAAUGCCGCGGUGAAUACGUUCCCGGGCCUUGUACACACCGCCCGUCACACCACGAAAGUCGGCAACACCCGAAGCCGGUGGCCUAACCCGCAAGGGAGGGAGCCGUCGAAG
rnacentral:rRNA from 1 species